GCUUAGCUUAAUUGUCUGUCUUCCCUUAGACUGUGAGUGAGUCUAUGAGGACAGGAACUGUCUGCCUUCCUAAACAAUUUUCAGCACCUUGCCCAGCCUGGCACAUGACACGCACUGAACAGAAAUUUGUUGAAUAAAGGCCCUGAGCAGUGGCUCAUGCCAGUAAUCCCAGAACUUUGGGAGGCUGUGGCAGGAGGAUUGCUUGAGCCACGGAGUUUGAGACCAGCCUGGGAAACAUAGUGACAGCCUCCUUAUGCUUUAUUUUAAAACAUUAUCCAGGCAUGGUGGCAUGCACCUGUGAUCCCAGCUACUCAGGAGGCUGAGGUGGGAGGGUGGCUUGAGCCCCAGGAGAUUGAGGCUGCAGUGAGCUGUGAUCACACCACUUCACUCUGUUACGGGCGGGUCUUUGUUCUUAGAGCUCCCAAGAUGGGGUGGGGCUGCUCCCAAGAUGGCAGCAAGCCUUUUGUUCUCUGACCUGGGGUCCUUGGCCUCACAGAUUCCAAGGACUUGGGCCAUAUAGUGAGUGUUGUAGCUCUAUUAGAAGCCGUGGGUCAUGGAAGAGAACUGUGGCACCCAGUGGCUAGUGUUCAGCUCAAUUAGGACGAACCCGGGACUUAGCCAUGCAGGAACAAUGGCGAGCCUUUAGCCCGAUUGGGAGCAGCAACGGGCAUCUCGCUUGAUCAGAAACACAGCGGACACCCUGCCAGAAGUCAAUGGUGGGUCUGGGAUGGUGGCGAACAGCAGUGGUGGUGAACAGCAGUUGUGGACUGUGAGCAAAAGCUCAGCUUGAGCAGUAACAAACAUGGGCCAGGAGAGUGUGCAGUUGCAAGAUUUAACAGUGAAAACAGAGCUCCCAUACAAUGGGAGGGGUCCCAAAGGGGGUUGCCACUCCCUGCUCGAAUGCCUGGAUUUAUAUCCUGAUCAUUGUCCCUCCCCCUGUGCUCUCAGGUGAUAUAUGAUUUGACUAUUUCUUUACCUCCUGCUUUAGCCUAAUUUGUAUUUUAGUGAGGCCUCUUUACUACCUGAUUGGUUGGGAGUGAGCUGAGUUACAAGCCGCGUGUUUAAAGGUAGGUGCAGUCACCUUUCCCAGCUAGGCUUAGGAAUUCUUAGUUGGCCUAGGAAAUCCAGCUAGUCCUGUCUCUCAACUCCAGCCUGGGCAACAGAGCAAGACCCUGUUUCAAAACAAAACAAAAAAGAAAAAAAUUUGCUGGGUGAAUAAGUAACUGAAAAGAAUGGAAAGCAGAUCUUCUAGGCUGUGCUGUGUUGAAUAGCGUCCCCACAAAUUCACGUCUGCUCAGAACCUGUGAAUAUGACCUUACAGGGUCUUUGCAGAUGUAAUCAGGCUGAAAUGAGGGCACAGUGGAUUCGUCUGGGCCCUAAUCCAAUGACUGGAGGCCUUACAGAAAGAGGGAAAUUGGGGCAGGAACAUACACCAGGGAGCAGGGGGAGGCAGAGGUUGGAGUGACAACCUGGGCACCAGGAGCUAGGAGAGAGGCAUGGCCUUGAGUCUCCAGAAGGUCCUCCGAGGGCCAGGGGCUGAGGAAAGGCAGGUGCACUGAACAACUCAACGACCCUGCGGCUUACAAGUCACUCCCUUUGCCGGGCCUUGCAGACCCGGGGAGGGAGCAGCAGUGCUGGCUGCACUCGCCAGGGAUAACUAUGGCUUGCUUCUCAUUGGACGAGGCUCCCCUCAAUCACAGAAAGGCUCAGGAUGGGCCUCACUGUGACUUCUGGGCCUUUUUUCUUUGGUCAAGUAAGGGGGCGGGACCUGAUUGGCUACAGGUUUGAGGACAGUUGUCUCCCGCUCUAGACUGGAAGGAGACUGGCAGUGGCUGAAGCGCCUGAGCUGAUGACUGCUGACGCCCCAGAGUGGCGCGCGCUGAGGGGCAUUUGGAGGUUUUUGGAAUUUCCGAUCAAAGGUGGAGGCAGGGUUUACACCCAAACCUAGAACAAAUCACCCGUUCUCUUUCCUGAUUUCCCUUUCCGAGUAACUGAGAUUAUAACCUCCAGGGUGGCUUUCCUAAGACUUCUGGACCUGACAAGAUUCUUCCAGAAUUCCUCAGCGGCCACGUGCUCUCACCUUCCCUCAAUCUCAGUGAGAAGCAGAAUAACCAGAUGUACAAAGAAUUUGAAUUCCAUUUGUACAAGUACAGAGAGACAGCUGCCAAAGAGCUGUGUAGGAACAUGGACUUUGAGCAUCUCAGAGGGUGGCCCUCUGGCACGUGGCUUUCCCGCCUGGGAGGCUGGUGGCAGCUGCCACAUCAGGUCUCAGUAGACAGAGAUGAAGUCUUUGCAAACAAAAAAAUAAAUAAAAUAAAAUUGUCUCAGUGGGCAGAGAUGAAGUCUUUGCAAACAAAAAAAUAAAAUAAAAUAAAACUGUCUCUUUCGUAUCUCCCCACCCAGAAAAACAGCCUUGACGUAUGCUGCUGUGUCCAAAAUUGGUGGAUUCUUGAUCUCACUGACUUCAAGAAUGAAGCUACAGACUCUCACGACAGGCCUCCUCUGCUCUCCAACCCACAGGCUGGUGGAAGAUGGCCACCCCGUGACACCUGUGCUGGGGACUGUGGACUCUCUUUACUCCCAAUUUUUCACUCUAGCAGGAGAAGACUGUGGCCCCCUUGGGGCCUAUCUCCAUCCCUUUCCAGGGGUCUCGGUCACAUACUACAUGACAUUCUGGGGCCCACUCUGUGCAUGGGAGGAGGACACUUUCAAGAGGAAGAGGGGGUUAUUGGUUCAUGAACUGGGAAGACACCCCCAAAAUAUCCAUUCUGAAAGAAUGCCACUCAACACAGAGUGAGAAACCUGAGUGAGUGAAGAACACAUUCUUGAUCAAUUCAUUCCACAUUUGCCUAGUAGAAGGUCUGAGUGCUGUGCAGGUGGGUGUGAGGCUCACCACUCCCCUUGGUCUGACUACUCAGUGUAAGCUCCAAGCUCGCGUGGGCCAUUCAGCAAAAACCAAGCUGUUCAUCCGGUUUAACAAACAGCUCUUGUUACCCAGCAAAGCCUCUUGGUGGAUUCACCCUGACCUCCACUUCCCAACCCCCAGCCUCAAGAAGCCUAUGGAAACUUCCCUUCCAAACUCCGGCAGCCCUCGGCAGAGAGGAAUUCUGCUGAAUGACAUUUUCCCUAUCUCGCACAUUUUCAUGGAGGUAGCUGCCUGGCUGGCAGGCACCUUAACUUGGCCGUGGCGAGGAGAGAUGAUGAGGCAGGGGUGGUUUUUGACAUCACACAUUUCAGGCCACGUAGCAUGGACAGCUGGCUGUCUGCUUAGUGGCCACACUGACCCUGAAGAGGUAACGCACUCCUCUCUGGAACCCUGUCUAGCAGCAGGAAUGGCGCAGUGACUCCUGGAAGGCCUAUUCAACCGCAAAUCUACAAUUGAUUGAUGACUCCUUUAGGUUUUGCAGGAAGUCACAGCAAUAAUCCAGGUAGUGACAAAAUUAUGUAAUUAAGUUUCAUUUAAUUCCCUAUAAUUAAAUACACCUGUGAUUGCUAGGGCUGUGGGUGUUGAGAUAGACAUUUCCUUAUUCUCAAGCAUGGUAUUUACUAAAUGCUCAAAUUGUAUCCAUAUGCUGAGUGCCCCAUAUUCAACGCAUUCGGCCCUGUGUGGUCCUGACCCUGUGAGCUGGGCUGGGGUGUGGGAAGGCUUUCUUCUAUUAAUGACUUCUAGUCCAGAGGCACAGGCAAAUUAAUCAUGGGUCAUACCAAAACAAAAAGCGACUUAACUGCAUAAUUCUGAUCUACUAGGGAAGUAAAAAUAUAAAAUGUUGCACUUUAAUAAAUGAAUUUAUUGGCUGGGUGAGGUGGCUCAUGCCUGUAGAGCCAGCAUUUUGGGAGGCCGAGGCGGGCAGAUCACCUGAGGGCAGGAGUUCAAGACCAGCCUGGCCAACAUGGCAAAACCCCGUCUCUACUAAAAAUGCAAAAAAAAUUAGUUGGGUGUGGUGGCAUGCACCUGUAAUCCCAGCUAUUCCGGAGGCUGACGCACGAGAGUUGCUUGAACCUGGGCGGCAGAGGUUGCAGUGAGCUGAGAUAGCACUACUGCACUCCAGCCUGGGUGAUAGAGCAAGACUCUGUCUCAAUUAAAAAAUAAUAAUAAUGGCCAGGCAUGGUGGCUCACGCCUGUAAUCCCAGCACUUUGGGAGGCCGAGGUGGGUGGAUCACCUGAGGUCGGGAGUUCGAGACCAGCCUGACCAGCAUGGAGAAACCCCGUCUCUACUAAAAAUACAAAAUUAGCCGGGCAUGGUGGCGCAUGCCUGUAAUCCCAGCUACUCGGGAGGCUGAGGCAGGAGAAUCGCUUGAACCUGGAAUGCUGAGGUUGCGGUGAGCCGAGAUCGUGCCAUUGCACUUCAGCCUGGGCAACAAGAGCGAAACUCCAUCUCAAAUAAUAAUAAUAAUUAAAAAUCAAUCAAUCAAUUUAUCAUGAACAAGAAUCGCACAAUAACAGCAACAGGCGAAUAGUUAUCUGGCAACCUCCUCCCUCUCUGUAUAUAUAUAUUUUCCUUUUUUUGAGACUGAGUCUCUGUUGUCUAGGCUGGUGGCACGUUCACAGCUCAUUGCAGCCUCGACCUCCUGGCUCAAACGAGUCUCCUGCCUUGGCCUCCUGAGUAGCUGGGACUACAGGUGCAUGCGCCCCCAGGCCCAGCUGCCUUCUAUAUUCUUUAGUGUACAUCACCAAGGGGAACCUGGAAGUGAAGAAAUGGCAAAAGGUUCAAAGUUCGUUUAUGCUUGCAGCCAUGAAACACCUAUUGGCCAGAGAGCGGUAUUUUCCAAGGAUACAGUACGAGAGAUAACACAGGAAUGUUGAAGUUGACUAGGAUAUUGAAGAGGCUGAAACUGAAUUUUGAAAAAAUACCCCAAUGAAAGGUCACUCACUGAUAAAGCCAGUAGGAGUAGAAGAUUAUUUUAUGGAGGAGGAUAAGAAAAGAGCUGAAAAGACUCCUUUGAUUCUCUAAAUAAUUUUGCACCUGGGCUCCCGCCUUCUAUGGCGUGGAGAGCGAGCGGAAGUGGCUGCAGGUGAGUUGCGCCUGGUAUGUGGUGAAUGGCUGGUCACACAGAUUCGCCUCUACUUACAUCCUUAAGUCCUGGGCUCUUUCUCAGUCCCCACCAUCAACUUUGCCCUUAUUUUAUCUCAGUCCCCCUGGCUGGGUGAGCUUUCCUCUUCCAGGUUUCAUGUUUGGUUCCCACAGCUUUGAUGCUGCUUCUCCUUGAAAGGAGGACAAACUAACCCUUCGCUCUGCUCCGUGUCCCUCUCCACUCCCUGCUGUGGAGCUCUCUACCUUGAACUGCUCCUGCCUCCUGUGCCCCAAGUUGUUAGCUGGGCCUGGAGUUCCCAAGACCCCCUUGGUGUCCACGAGGGCUAUUCCAGCCUCCUUUUGGUAUGUGAUCAGUUCUUCGGGGUCUCCUGUCUUAUGUGAGAUAGAAACCAGCCAUUCUGCUUUUCUUUUCCAACUCCAAAGUUGGCCAGGCGUGGUGCCUCACGCCUGUAAUCCCAGCACUUUGGGAGGCCGGGGGUGGGGGGCGGGGGGCGGAUCACCUGAGGUCAGGAGUUCGAGACCAGCCUGGCCAACAUGGUGAAACCCCAUCUCUAUUAAAAAUACAAAAAUUAUUGGGCAUGGUGGUGCAUGCCUGUAAUCCCAGCUACUCGGGAGGCUGAGGCAGGAGAAUCGCUUGAACUUGGGAGGCAGAGGUUGCAGUGAGCUGAGAUCGUACCACUGCACUCCAGCCUGAGUGAUACAGCAAGACUCUGUCUCAAAAAAACAAAAACAAAAAACAAACUCCAAAGUUUAUCUUCCUUGGAAAAUCCUGAAAGUCUUCUAAAAGCGAAUGAAUGCUUUAUUUUUAUGACUUUACUUUGAUUUUAGAUGUGUCUAUUCGCUGCUUCCAUGACUAAAAGCUGUAUGAUUGCCUUAAUUAUCUUUGUAUGCUGGAAAAAAAUGGCAGAAAUCCAUUUUC